CCUACGGGAGGCUGCAGUAAGGAAUAUUGGUCAAUGGACGAAAGUCUGAACCAGCCAUCCCGCGUGCAGGAUGAAAGCCCUAUGGGUUGUAAACUGCUUUUAGCAGAGAAGAAAAGCUUUCAUUAAUGAGAGUCUGACGGUAUCUGCAGAAUAAGCACCGGCUAACUCCGUGCCAGCAGCCGCGGUAAUACGGAGGGUGCGGGCGUUAUCCGGAAUAACUGGUGCGAAGGGGGGGGAUUAAGGAGGUUUAGAAAUCUUGUCGCUUAACGAUGAAAUUGCCAAUGAGACUGGUACUCUUGAAUUGGGUUGAGGUUAGCGGAAUGUGACAUGUAGCGGUGAAAUGCAUAGAUAUGUCAUGGAACACCAAUUGCGAAGGCAGCUAACUGGGCCUUGAUUGACGCUGAGGCACGAAAGCGUGGGUAGCGAACAGGAUUAGAUACCCUUGUAGUC
rnacentral:rRNA from 1 species